rnacentral:snRNA from 1 species
GUGCUCACUUCGGCAGCACAUACACUAAAAUUGGAACGAUACAGAGAAUAUUAGCAUGGCCACUGCGCAAGGAUGAUACGCAAAUUCGUGAAGCGUUCCAUAUUAAA